rnacentral:rRNA from 1 species
CAGCCGUAAACUAUGCGCGUUAGGUGUACUGGUGACCACGAGUCACCGGGGUGCCGAAGGGAAACCGUGAAACGUGCCGCCUGGGAAGUACGGUCGCAAGGCUGAAACUUAAAGGAUUGGCGGGGGAGCACCACAACGGGUGGAGCCUGCGGUUUAAUUGGACUCAACGCCGGAAAUCUCACCGGAUAGGACAGACAUAUGAUAGUCGGGCUGAAGACUCUACUUGAUGAUCUGAGAGGGAGGUGCAUGGCGUCAGUGACU